CCUACGGGCGGCUGCAGUGAGGAAUAUUGGUCAAUGGACGAGAGUCUGAACCAGCCAAGCAGCGUGAAGGAUGACUGCCCUAUGGGUUGUAAACUUCUUUUAUAUGGGAAUAAAAUGUUCCACGUGUGGGAUUUUGUAUGUACCAUAUGAAUUAGGAUCGGCUAACUCCGUGCAAGCAGCCGCGGUAAUACGGAGGAUCCGAGCGUUAUCCGGAUUUAUUGGGUUUAAAGGGAGCGUAGGUGGAUUUUUAAGUCAGUUGUGAAAGUGUGGGGCUCAACCGUAAAAUUGCAGUGGAAACUGGCAGUCUUGAGUACAGUAGAGGUAGGCGGAAUUCGUGGUGUAGCGGUGAAAUGCUUAGAUAUCUCGAAGAACUCCGAUUGCGAAGGCAGCUCACUGGACUGCUACUGACACUGAGGCACGAAAGUGUGGGUAUCAAACAGGAUUAGAUACCCGAGUAGUC
rnacentral:rRNA from 1 species